rnacentral:rRNA from 1 species
UACGUAGGGACCGAGCGUUGUCCGGAUUCAUUGGGCGUAAAGAGCUCGUAGGCGGCUGCUCAAGUCGAAUGUGAAACCUCGAGGCUUAACCUCGAGCCUGCAUUCGAUACUGGGCGGCUAGAGUCUGGUAGGGGGGAUCUGGAAUUCCUGGGUGUAGCGGUGAAAUGCGCAGAUAUCAGGAGGAACACCGGUGGCGAAGGCGGUUCUCUGGGAAUGACCUGACGCUGAG